ACAAUACCUAUUUUUAAUAAAGUCAUAAUAAUGAACAUUUAUUGCAAGAAUGUUGGGCUAGUACCUGUGAUUGCAUCAUCUCUUUUAGUUCUCACAACAACACUGUGAAGUAGCUCCUAUUUUUAGCCAUAUUUCACAUGUGAGUAUCCUAAACUGCAAAGAAAUUAACAAAUUGCUGUGGGUCAUACAGCUGGUAUGAUAUAGAACCAGGACUCAAAUCCAUGUUUAUCUGACUCUAAAUUCCAAGUUUUUAACAAUUAUGCUGUACUGUCUGGAGGACUGACAAACUCCAGACUUUGAAAGCUGUCUCAGAACAUCUGAAUUCUACAUCAACCAACACAGUGACAUCCUUUCAAGAUAUCACUGUGAUGGACAGUCUUUCUUUUUAAUUGAAGUAUAAUUGAAAUAAAAUAUUAUAUGAGUUACAGGUGUACAAUAUAGUGUUUUGAUAUUAUAUAUUUUACAACAUGGUCACCACAUUAAUUUAGUUACCAUCUGUCACCAUGGAAAAUUAUUACAAUAUUAUUGACUAUGUUUCAUAUGCUAUACUUUACAUCGAGUGACAUUAAUUUUUUUUUUCUUCAUUUGUACCUUUUAAUACCCUUCACAUAUUUUGUCCACCCUCUGGCAACCACCAGUUUAUUCUCUGUAUUUAUUAGUCUGUUUCAGUUUUGUUUGUUCAUUUGUAUUUUUAGACUCUAUGUGUAAGUGAAAUCAUGUUGUAUUUGUUUUUGGCUAACUCAUUUCACUUAGCAUAAUACCAUCUAGGCCCAUCUAUGUUGUUGCAAAUGGCAAGAUUUCAUUCUUUUGUGGUUGAGUAAUAUUCAAUUGAGUAUUACUUAAUACUGAGUAGUAUUGUAUGUAUACAUACCACAUCAUCUUUAUGCAUUCACCCACCAAUGGAUACUUAGGUUUUUUCCUAUAUCUUAGCUAUUGUAAAUAAUGCUACAGUGAACAUAAGUGUGUAUAUAUCUCUUCAAAUUGGUGUAUUUGUUUGCUUUAGAUAAAUACCCCGAAGUGGAAUUCCUGGAUCGUAUGGUAUUUCUAAUUUUAAUUUUUUUGGAACCCUCCAUACUGCUUUCCAUAGUGGCUGCACCAAUUUACAUUACCACUAACAGUGCAUCAAGUUCUCUUUUCUCCAUAUCUUCACCAACACUUACUAUUUCCUGUUUUCCUGAUACUAGUCAUUGUGACCUGUGUGAGGUGGUAUCUGUGGUUUUGAUUUACAUUUCCCUGAUGGUUAGUGCUGUUGAGCAUUUUUUUCAUGUAUCUGUUGGCCAUCUGCAUGUCUUCUUUGGAAAAAUGUCUAUUCAGGUCCUCUGCCCAUUUUUUAAUCAGACUUUUUUUGGCAUCAAGUUGUUCUUUAUACAUUUUGGAAAUGAAUCCCUUCUCAGACAUAUCAUUUGCAAAUAUCAUUUCCCAUUCAUUAGGUUGCCUUUUCAUUUUUUUUUUUUUUGAUGGUUUCCUUCACUGCGCAAAAAAGCUUUUGAGUUAUAUGCACUUGUUUAUUUUUGCUUUUGUUGCUCUUGCCUGAGGAGACAGAUCCAAAAAAAAAGUAUUGCUGAGAUUGAAAGAUAACAGUCUUUUUAGGCUUUGUCAAAGGGAAGCAGGAGAACCUCAGACAAUACCAAUAACAGUUAUGUUUGUGUCAUCAUCCAUUUCUUUGAAAGCCUUAUCUUCACUAGAAGUCUGUACUUUCUUUUUCUGUCAGGAGAGCAGAACCACCUUACAGCAUUACUAGCCCUGUGAGAAGUAAAAUAGCCCUAGCUACAACUCUGAAGUACAUCCCACUGCAAACUAACCCCUGGACUUUAGCACAUAUUUUCAUAAAUGCACUCUUACUUGGACCCAACCCUCCUUCUGGAAUCUGUGUUACAGCUGCUGUCAGCUUGGCCUCACUCUCCUUAUGAUAACAGCUGCCAGGGAUGACCCCUUCCAGUGUGGGGGGAUAAGAGGAAGAGGGACUUCCCAGUAAGAUUGUUUCUCCAAAGAUACGUUAUCCUUGGCAGCUGCCAAGGACCUGUCACUUGUGAAGUCUAGACCAGGUCUCUGUGAUAAUCACUUCCCUUCUUGAUCCUCAUUCAGCAAAAGAAAAUGUAGAGACUUGAGCAUUUUCUCAUCAGAGUAAGAGCUUGCACACCUGUGCAUAAAGGUGAUGGGUCAUAAUACUAAGAACAAAGAGCCUUUCUAAGAUUCAAAAGGAGGGCAGAGUCGCAGCCAUCUGUAACAGCUGAAAGGGGUAUUUGGGAAAACCAAAUCCCUCAGCAAUAACUUGAGAUAUGUUUUCUCACAUAAGCAGAUCCCUAUACCCAAGAGGUAACAUCACUGAGUUUAAAUUCUGUGGGCCAUUCAGCACUUGGAAAAGUCAUUUUGUUAAUACUAAACAAUAAAAUUCUCUUGGUCACUGGAAAUGCAGUUUAAUAUAGAGUCACACAACUUCAUAGAUUUCUUUCCCCUAGGGAAUAUUUAUAGUUUUCCAAACGUGAUUUAUUUCACACAAAAAUUAUCUUUUUAAUUAUAUACAUUCUUAGCUUAUAGAAAUCUUCUUUGUGUCUCAAAUUCCUCGUACUGAUGUGAGACAAACUUUAGUAAGAACACAAAGCAAUCACUUCAGACAAGCAGUUACAUUUCUGGUGUCAUUCUGUCCUUUUUUUUUUUUAAUGGAAUAUUACCCGAAUUUGCAUGUCAUCCUUGUGCAGGGGCCAUGGUAAUGUUCUGUGUAUCAUUCCAAUUUUAGUAUAUGUGCUGCCAAAGUGAACACUGGUGUCUUUCUGUCUUAAAAUAAAUUUUUUAAAGUGAAAGGUAUAUUAUGGAGGAGAUGUUACUUAGUAGUUCUGUGUACUGGUCUUUUUAAGGCUUCACUAAUACUAGCAGUUGGUAAGUUUGGAGAUCAGAGUCAACAUAUCGGCUUUUACAAGUUCGUAAAUGUUAUUAGUCCUUUGGUCACACUAGUAUGCUAAACAAGAAUUUUUUUUUGGUUAAUUUAUUUAUUUACAGUGAAAAGUAACCUGCUAAGAGGACCAGGGGAAUUUGUGUUAUUUGCUCUCACUAUGUGUCUUUCCAAGUAGAAGAUCCAAUUUUAUAAACUGAAUAAAGAUCAGACAUCUUUCUUUCUGAAUACGUAAUACAGUCAAAGGAAUUAAGUAAAGUCAAUGAGCUCAAGCUCUGGUGACUUUAUGCAUUCUCCUCUACUCAGGACCAAGUGCCUUAUCCAUCAGAAUACCCUUGGCAACCUGGCCAGGACUUAGAGAAGCCCUUAGCACUGAUGCUGUUUUUCCUAGACUCCACAAACCCAUGGUAGUCCAUUGGGACAACUUAUAAGGUGUGGUUUUUCUUACAUUAGCUACCUUUAUGAUGGCUGCUUUCUGGGGAUACAGAGUAAUUGUAGGGAAAUGUGCUAGGAGCCAUGGAUGACAUAGAAAUAUAUUCAUCAUGGAUAUUACUUCCAAGGAGAUCUAGUUUGGUUGGUAAAGCCCAUGCUAUAUAAAUAUUGGCUCAAAAUGUCCCUCACAUUUCUUAGUUCUCCAUAGGAUAAAUAAUAGGGUGAUAAUAACCAUCCCCAAAUUAUUUCUCUGGUCACAUCCCUUCCUCUUCUGCCAAAGCUUUGGUUCCAGUUCCUUCUGAAGAGCCCGUGAUGUGUUUCCCAUGUGCCCUCUGGACUUCUCUUGGCUCCCACGGACACCCACAUUUCCCUCCUUUCCUGUCCUUGCCCUCUGUGGUGGUGUCUCCCAUUGCUGUUAACCGCCAAGAAGCCGUGUGGUCACAAUGUUCAGUAAAGACAUUGUUCCCAUCAUUGCCCACCAGGGGCAGUACAGGGGCUGCCCAUGGUUGUGCCCAGUGUGUGGAGUCUGCACUCGGCCACAACCUACAGUGCCACUAACCAUUUUAGGCCUCCCACUCUAGCUCAGUCCUGAGCCUAUGGGACCUGGGCCAGAGGAGGGACCCUGUGGUAUAGUUGAAAGUUCAAGGACUUCCACAUCACACAGGCCUGGGUUGGAAUGCCUCCUCUGCCGUUACCUACCUGCAAGGUCCUUAAGCAUUUUACUUGGCUUCUCUGAGUCUCCAGAUCUUGCCAAGUCUGUCGUAUAGAAAUUAGGUUGUUCUGAGCAUUGAAUAGAAUAAUGUGAGUAAAGUAUCUAGCACAGUGGCUGGCAAAUGAUAAGUAGAAGCAGCAGCUAUUUUGAUGUAUUCAUUUAAUUUAUCUUAAUUCCCCAUCUUCUGGGCACUGUGCUGUAUGUGAGGCCUAAAAAGAUGAAGAAGCUGCUGUAUCAGGGAGUUUUCUGUCUACUAAUGGGGAUCAGCCUGUAAAUAAAUAACAAUGAUAAAGUAUUAUAGUUGCUCUUUUAGAAUUCUGCAUGUCUGUCAUUCUUACCAUUAUCCAAGAUAAAACAUGAUAUCCCAGAAAAGGUACAAGUGACAUGCUGUGAGAGUUCAGGGGAGAGCAUAUCCUAUUCUACGUUCAUUGGUUAAUGAGAAAUGCACUGGCACUUAUCAGCAUAAUGUGUUUGCUGUAUUUGUGUCCUUAGAUUUCUUGUUUCAUCACCCCACCGUUUGUGUGAAUGUGGAAUAGUAGAUCAAACCUGAAAUGAAUUGAAUGAUGGGGCAUAUAGGUGGAUGUUUGAACUUAGUUUGAUAAGUGGAGCAGCACUUCAUUUUCAAAAUAUAAAAGAACCUAUUUCCAUGAUGGUUUCUUUCCUGUUGAUGAUAUUCACAUCAUCUGCUAAAUAGAAAAGUUAUAACUGGGAUAUACAUUGGAGUAAAAGGAAAAUGGAUGCUGUAUCCCAAAUUGUGCUCCUGAAUGCCAUCACUGUCUAGGAUCUGCCAUUCAUAAAAGAUUAAAUGUGAGGCAGGCACAUAUCUGAAUACAUGCAUGUCAGUCUUGCCAUCUGUUUUAAUUUUGCUUAAAAUAAUGAGAGCUUUUUUUUAACCCAUUUACUUGAGUUUGUGCCGAUUCUUUUCAUGUUCAUUAGCUGGAAGUAGCCUGUGGUAUUUAGCUAGUGUUUCAGAAUCCCACUAAGACUAGCUUUAAUUAAAUUAUUGGAAAUGUCUUUAAAGCUGUAUAUUUUAUUGUUGGGACUAGAAUCACUAAAAUAUUGAUACAUAGACUGGGAAAUGUAUACUGUAAUUUAACAUAAAAAUAGCAAACAAAGGAACAUUGUUAGUUUGCACAGCUCUUGUGAGUACUAAGAGCAGGUAAGCAAAAUGCUUUUCUGAAGUAGGAUACUUUUUAUGUUGCAUAAAAUUUUUUGAAUUAUUAAAAAAUUAGUAAUUUCUGUGUUCAAAUCUACUAUCUCCUUGUUCUCUUUUUGUACAAUUUUUUAUCAUAUUACCAUGUGAUUACCAUUUCUCUCAACCUCUAAAUCCCUUUCCAACCUGCUCCUACCCCCUAAGUAAAACCUCUCUUGCCCUAUACAAAUUUUACCUUGUGCUGAGGCAGAAAGUAAACUGGCAUGAUGAUAAUGUAAUUCAUGGUAACCUGGAAAUAUCAUCUAGAUGAAAAUUAUAGUUGAUUAAAAGCAGUAACUCCUAAAUUUAAGAAUUGCUCUCAGAAGUCACCAUGGAAACAUGAGGCCAGUAUUAUUGUUUUUCUUGGUAAUACACAAAGAACUGUAUAUCCUCAGCAGGUAGAAUUGAUCAAAUGUAACAGCCAUGGCCCUGAAGAUUUUAUAGGGUUGACUGCUUGUCAACAUUUCAGUAUGUCUGUCACUUAAUACCAUCAAGUGUUGUGCAAUGCAGAACUUCAACUGAACUGGCCCUCAGUCAAGUACUUUUGUUGAUAGAAAUGUGGGACUGAAUACAUUUUAAGCAGUAUGAAAUCCAGGAGACCUGCUGCCUUCUUGUCUUAGAUAGUGACUAUAAUGGUGAUUAGGCCUCAGACUUAUAUGAAGACUCUCUUAUAAUCAAAGCUCUUAUAGUUACCAUUCAUACUUUAUUAAUAAACAAAUACUGCCCCAGGAGGUAAAAAAUUAAACCAACUGACAUCAAAUCUAGGCAUCUGACUUUCAUUAAAUUAUCUAUUAUUUCUUCUCAUCUUGUAUGGCAUUCUUUCUCUGUUUAAGAAAAGCUUUACUUUGCAGACCACAGGGCAAAUAAGAGUUCAAUACAGAAAAAAACCUAAAAAGAUUCACAGUCUAAGUAUAGCUAAAACACCUCUCUGAGUCCCUAAAUUCAGUUAUAGUGCUUUUCUUUGAUAAUUUUGAGCCAUAUUGAUGGAAAUAUUUGGUGACUUUGGAGACCUGCAAUGUCAGGGGUGGAAUGGAGGAGUAGAUAAUUAUUAGCAUGUGCAGUAACUGCAAUCCCGAGGGAUUUUUUUCUAGAUAGUACUUAAAGAGAAAACAUUCUUUACUGUUGGAGUGAAAAAGUAGCUUAUUACCUACUGUGGCACCAUCUGGUGAUUUCGUUUUUAAUGUUACUGCAUAUUUAUUAAGAACAUACAAUGUACCAGGUAUGCUCACUAGAAAGUGGACUCAGCUUCAUCCUAAUGGACUCAGCAUAUAUUGCUAAUUGACAAAAAUACAGGAAAUAAACAAGUGGACUGCUUUGUUGGAAAUACAUGGUUCUGAUAAGGUGCUUUGUUUUCCCCAACCCCUAGACAUGUUUCAUUUCAUAUAGGUAAAGAAAUCACAAAAAUUUUAGACAGAAGCAAAAAGAACUGUUAUGUGGUUGUGUCAACAUGGACAAGUUUCAGAAGAUUAUAAAGUGCUUAAGGACAAGGAUCCACUCUUUUUUCAAUAUUAUUAUCUACAGUUCUUCAAUUGUUCAACGUAGAACAAAAAAGAAUAUUUUUUAGACUGCUUCCAUCCUAUAGUACUGCCAGUCCUAAACAAAAUAUUGUCAAAUUAAGUGCAACAAUUUACUAAAAACAGAUGAUAUAUCAUAACUGAAUGAGAGUAUCCUGGGAAUACAAAGCAUUAAGAAGUUAAUCAAGGUGAUUUAUCACAUUAACAUAAAAAGGAAAAAAACAUCAGAUAAACAUUUCAAUUAAUGUAAAAGUAGUUGGUAAAGCUUGAUGACCAUUGGUGAUUUUUAAAAAAUUCUUAGCAAACUAGGAAUAGACAGGAGCUUCAUUAAUCUGAUAAAGAUUAUUUGCAAAAUAUCUGUGGCAAACAUCUUAUUUAAUAGUGAAAUAUUGAAAGCUUUUUUUUCCCUUAUAGUGGGAACAAUACAGAUAUACCUGAUAUCUCCUCUUCUGUUCAGCAUUAAACUGGAAGUCCUAGCUGGUGCAAUAACGGAAGAAAAAUAAAUAAAAGUAUAGUAGACAAAUGGCCUCCAAUGAUGUCAACAUCCUAAUUCUUGGAAUCUUCAUCUCAAUUGUUUGGUUAGCAUCUGUUUUCUAUUCUUCUCUUUAUUCAACUCAUACAUUUUCUAUGCAGUCAAAUUAAAUCCAACGGAUGGGUUUCUCAGUAGCUGUGAACACAAUCUCAAGUUGAUGUUUAUGCUUUUCUCUGGAACUCGGUCUAUCUACCAAUGGAUUCAUGUUUACUGAACUCCUUUCUAAGAAUCUACUAGGACACUCCCAACAAAGGAUUUCUGUUUGGCAACUUGUCUUCAUGUUAUAGUUCUAAGUCAGAACUUUAUACUGCCUGCCUGGUAACCCUUCCCAAAGGUUCAGAGGGAAUACUUUUCUUUUGUCUACUUUUAUUUCAUUUCCUUAAAGCAGAAUUUCUCAACUCAGCACUAUUAACAUUUGAACAGGGUAACUCUCUGCUGUGGGGGACUCUCUCGUGCACUGUAUGGCACUUAACAUCCUCCCUGGCCUUUGCCCACUAGGCACCAGUAGCAACCAAUGCCCCCUCUAAGUUUUGAUGAUCAAAAGUGUUUCCAGUCAUUGCCUAAUAUCCCUUGGAGGUUACGGUCACCCUUGUUGAAACCCUCUGGACUAAAAAAUAGUAUUCACAUCUCAGUGGUGACAGUAAGAUAAAGUAGGUCUUUAUUUAUUGGUAAAAUGUAUCUGGUAUUCUAAGCUAGUUCAUGCAUCUCUUCAACAAAAUUACUAUUAAACAAUGCAGCAGGCAUGUGUGGAAGGCAGGUGAUGGAACACAUAUUCGGAUUUAACCAAGCUGGUACUUUCUAGUAGCUGGAUUUGGUAGAUGCAUAUAGUUUAUAAAAAGUUGGGCCCUACUGUUUGUGAGCCAUCAGCACUUUAAAGAUAAGAAAGGGAGAUAUGUGAGUAAUUUUACAUGUGGAGGUGCUCCUCUCAGGGGCCCAGCUCUGCUUCUGAAAGUGCUAUACUCUUGCAGAGGCCAGGCACAGCGAGGAAUAGCCAAGGUUUAUUGCAUAAUUUUCAAUAGGCAUGAACAUUCAAAAAAUAACCUGGUGGUUUGCCAACAAAGGAGUAGCCCAAAGUAACUGUAAUUAUUUGGGAGAAAGGUUUUUAUUGCAACUAAGGAUAUUGUGAAUUUGUAAUAAGGAAAAAGUAGAAUGCUUUGUUAUUGGUUGUUAUGGGGUGAAGCCACUCGAUUCAUUUAGAAGAGUAGUAGGUGCUAAAAUAGAAUAGAAAAAGCACUCCAGGAAUCUUCCCUCUGUCUUUGCUUAAAAUCAGUGCUAAGGUCAAAUUCUAUUUUUUUAAUUGAGGUAUACAAUGAUGUUGGUUUCAGUUGUACAACAGCUUCAAAAUAAUACUGGUUUCAGGUGUACUACAUAGUAAUUUGACAAUUAUGUACAUUACUAAAUGCUCACUGUGAUAAGUGCAGUUACCAUCUGUCAGUAUACAAAUAUAUUGAAAUAUUAUUGACUAUAUUCCAUACACUGUACUUUUAUCCCCGUGACUAAUUUAUAAUUUGAUGUUUGUGCCUCUUUAGCCUUUUCACCUAUUUCACCCAUCAUCCUACCCCCCGCCCAUAAGACAACCACCCAUUUGUUCUCUAUCUUUAUGAGUCUGUUUUGGUUUUGUUUUGUUUGCUUGUUUGAUUUGUUUUUUAGAUUCCACGUGUAAGUGAAAGCACCUGGUAUUUAUCUUUCUCUGUCUGAUCUAUUUGACUUAGCAUAAAGCCCUCUAGGCUGAUUCAUUUUUCACAAAUUGGAAGGUUUCAUUCUUUUUAUGGCUGUGUAAUAUUCCAUUGUACACAUGUACCACAUCUUUAUGCAGUCAUCUAUCAAUGGACACUUAGGUUGCUUCCAUAUCUUGGGUAUUGUAAAUAAUGCUGUAAUAAACAAGGAGUGUAUAAAUCUUUUCAAAUUAGUGAUUUUUGUUUUCUUCAGGUAAAUUUCCAGAAAUGGAAUUACUGAGUCCUAUGAUAUUUCUACUUUUAGUAUUUUGAGAAACCUCCAUACUGCUUCCCUUAGUGGCUGCACCAAUUUUUAUUCCCACCAACAGUAUAGGAGGGUCCCCUUUUCUCCAUAUCCUUGGCAACACUUGUUAUUUCUUGUCUUUUGGAUACUAGCCAUUAUGACAUGUGUGGGAUAUCUCAUUGUGGUUUUGAUUGAUUUCCCUGAUGAUUAAUGAUGUUGAGUGUCUUUUACUGUGUCUGUUGGCCAUCUGUAUGUCUUUUUUGGAAAAAUGUCUAUAGGUCAAAUUCUCAUGGUAGGAACUCAGAAGAGCAUCUGGUUAUCCUAAAGGCAUACAUAUAUAAAAGCAUGAAAAUUUAAGGCAUAUUCAUUGUGAAAACAUGAAAGUUAGAUAAGCAAUGAUAAUGUUCUUUUAACAGCAGAGAACUUAAAUAUUAGUGUUUGGCUGCAUGGAUGUUAUGGGA